ensembl:lincRNA
GGGGAGAAGAAGCUGCGGUGGUAAUACCUCACCGUAUUACCACAAAUGCGUGCUGAGACUUUGGACUUCAUCCUGAAGGCUGUGGGUGUCAGCAGUUAUCUUUGACAAAAGACUUUCACUGAUAUUUAGUACUUGGAAGCAAUAUAACUGGAUUAGAAAGACUUUAGGAAUAAGGUUCAAAGAAGAGAGAUUCACAGCAGGUUCUUGCAGUAAUCUACACACAGAGAUGAUAAAAGUUGCACUAGGACCAUGGGUACCGAUGGAUUUGGAAGAAGUGGGAGGAUAUUUAUACCACGUGCUGUGGAUGAAAACUGUGCAGCGUGCGUAGGUUAAACUCUGGUUAUCCUCAUUUGUGAAUGAGAAAAUAACGAUGCAAACGUCAGAGGAGUCCUGACCAAGUUCUCCCGGUUGCCAAAUAUUGCUGGGGACUGAAAUGAAACCUCACGCUCCUGCAGUGAGACUUCCCCCGUUCCUGGCGCCUUAACACACUCAGCAUUCGCUGGCUGGCUCUCCGGCCGCCACCCCACCUCACCCCACAUCUACCUGGCGCCAGGUGGGUGUCUGACUGGGCAGGAAGCUUUCAUUCUUUGCAGUUAGCUCCGGGGGUAAUGACUGUGGCAGGAUGUGUUGGACAGCGAAAUCUACAUUCAGCAGACACGAGCCAUCACGGGGUUGGCAGCAUCCCUUCAGAGACCGGCCUCCCACUCCCCUCUCCAGAGCGCUGCACUGCUGGAUGUCUGCAGAGAAGAAAGCCAUGAAAAAUCUCAUCCAAUGCAAGUUUCAAAAUCUCCACGCUUGUUUUCUGGUUCUCAGUUUUACCUGGCACGGCCGCCCCCGGACUGCGGUGGAGGCGAGCCUCGGGCUUUGCAAAGCCAGUGCACGUCAUCAGCUGCUGAAAACUUCCAGGUUUGGAUGUAAUCGACACUCUGGUAAAGUACUUAAGCUAAUAAAGCUCUAACACUUCCCCCAGACUCCCUGCCAGCACCUCCCUGGCUGGGCAUGCACAGCCCCAAGGAGAAGCCUGAGCCCCUGGCUAGGGCGGUGACUGGCAUGUGACUCUGCCCGGGACCCUCACCAGAGGAGCCCGGACCUGCUGUGUUCACACCUCUGCCUUCCUUCCCCACGUGCUGCCCAAACACUUGGUCAAAAGGCUGCUUUCUCUGUCCUCAAAUUUCAGCCCAGGAAGGAGGUGACCUGCACCAGGUUACCCUGGCAGACUAGCCAGGGGCAGCUGUGGUGUGCUCCUGUCAUCUCUUCCUCUUUGUAGCAGUGGCAGGCUCUGUGCCAUGCGCCCUGUGCCACCUGGAUACAAGGAGCCUUUGCCCUCCUCCCAGGCAGCCCUCUCCCCUGGGUUGGGAAUGGUCCCAUCACGAGGACUCUUGUGGGUCUGGAUCAUUUCCUUGCAACUCACUGGACUUUGUCCCCCUCUGUCGCCCAACAAGAAGGAAAGUGACUACCUUGACCCACACACAGCAACCUCGGGGGCCGGGAGCUUCUCUUUCUGGGGCUCCCUCAGCUGCCAAGCAUUGAUUCCCUCAGAAGUCCCAGCAGCAUCUCCUCUCAGCUCCCCUCCACCCAAUGCAGACUCUGGGCCAGGAGACAGCAAUGACGAUGGACU